UACGUAGGGGGCAAGCGUUGUCCGGAUUUAUUGGGCGUAAAGAGCGUGUAGGCGGCCAGAUAGGUCUGUUGUGAAAACUCGAGGCUCAACCUCGAGACGCCGAUGGAAACCAUUUGGCUAGAGUCCGGAAGAGGAGAGUGGAAUUCCUGGUGUAGCGGUGAAAUGCGCAGAUAUCAGGAAGAACACCCGUGGCUAAGGCGGCCCCCUGGUUGGAUACUGACGCUGAGACGCGAAAGCGUGGGGAGCAAACAGG
rnacentral:rRNA from 1 species